CCUACGGGAGGCAGCAGUGAGGAAUAUUGGUCAAUGGUCGGGAGACUGAACCAGCCAAGCCGCGUGAGGGAGGAAGGUACAGAGUAUCGUAAACCUCUUUUGUCAGGGAACAAAGGCGGGGACGUGUCCCCGGAUGAGUGUACCUGAAGAAAAAGCAUCGGCUAACUCCGUGCCAGCAGCCGCGGUAAUUCGGAGGAUGCGAGCGUUAUCCGGAUUUAUUGGGUUUAAAGGGUGCGCAAGGGGUCUGUUAAGUCAGCGGUGAAAGCCCGGGGCGCAACCCCGGCCCGCCGUUGAAACUGGCAGUCUCGAGUGGGAGAGAAGAAUGCGGAAUGCGCGGUGUAGCGGUGAAAUGCAUAGAUAUCGCGCAGAACUCCGAUUGCGAAGGCAGCAUGCCGGCUCCACACUGACGCUGAGGCACGAAAGCGUGGGUAUCGAACAGGAUUAGAUACCCUGGUAGUC
rnacentral:rRNA from 1 species